rnacentral:rRNA from 1 species
CGUUCAUUGUCUUCUUUCUUAGGAGUUGAUGUUGGAGAUCAAUUCUACUCACGUGCUGAGAUGGUUGUGCUAGGCAUACAUGGCCAUUGGAUGAAGGGUAUAGAUUAUAUGGGUUCGAAACAUCAAGAUAAGCCAGGGUAUCAAGAUUUAAUUUUCCCUCUUGCCACCUGCAUUGUAAUGUCGGGGGCAUAUGAAGAUGAUUUUGACAAAGCUGACGAAAUUAUUUACACUGGCGAAGGAGGAAAUAAUUUGCUUGGUAACGGUCACCAGAAAACUGAACAAACAUUGCUUCGGGGAAACUUGGCACUGAAGAAUAGCAAGGAUAAUGGCAACCCUAUACGGGUUAUUCGUGGCCAUAUAGAAAAGAACAGCUACACUGGAAAAGUUUACACCUAUGAUGGAUUGUACAAGGUAGUGGAUUGCUUGUCAGAGAAAGGAGUGCGCGGGCAUUUGGUUUUCAAAUUCAGAUUGAAGCGCCUUGAAGGUCAACCACCUUUGACAACUUCCAGGGUGCUGUUUAAUCGUGGAGAUGUUCACAUGCCAAUUUCUGAAUUACCUGGGUUGGUUUGUCGGGACAUCUCUUAUGGGCAGGAGAACAUUCCAAUUCCUGCUACAAAUUUAGUUGAUAAUCCUCCUGUUCCUCCAUCUGGCUUUGUGUACUCUAAGUCACUGCAGAUUCCAGAAUAUAUCAAAAUGCCAGCUGACAGCAUUGGUUGUAAUUGCAAAGGAGAUUGUUCUAGCUCUACACACUGCUUGUGUGCUGAUCGCAAUGGUUCCGAUCUACCAUAUGUGUCUAGUCAAAAGAAAGUUGGAAGGUUGGUGGAGCCCAAAGCAGUUGUGUUCGAGUGUGGUGCUACUUGUAGCUGCCACUGCAGCUGUGUAAAUAGAACAUCCCAGCAAGGAUUGCAAUACCGCCUAGAGGUGUUCAAGACUGAGUUAAAAGGUUGGGGCGUAAGAACGUGGGACACUAUUCUUCCAGGGGCACUCAUCUGUGAAUACACUGGGGUAUUGAGGAGGAACGCUGAAGUUGAAGGUUUGCUGGACAACAACUACAUAUUUGAUAUAGACUGUCUUCAGACCAUUAAAGGCCUGGAUGGGAGGAAGCAAAGGUCUGGCUCAGAACUGCAUAUGGCAUCUCUUCAAGAUGAGCAUGACUCCGAGGCUUCUCAAGCCCCAGAGUAUUGCAUUGAUGCUGGUUCCAUUGGCAACAUUGCGAGGUUCAUAAAUCAUAGCUGCCAACCGAACCUUUUCAUCCAGUGCGUACUGAGCUCACAUAGAGAUAUCAAGCUAGCAAAAAUCAUGCUUGUUGCAGCUGAUACCAUACCACCUCUUCAGGAACUCUCGUAUGACUACGGGUAUGGCAUGGACAGUGUCAUUGGUCCAGAUGGCAAUGUUGUCAAGUUAGCUUGCCACUGUGGUGCCUCUGACUGCCGAAAACGGCUCUAUUAG